rnacentral:rRNA from 1 species
UACGGAGGGGGCUAGCGUUGUUCGGAAUUACUGGGCGUAAAGCGCACGUAGGCGGCUUUGUAAGUUAGAGGUGAAAGCCCAGGGCUUAACCCUGGAAUUGCCUUUAAGACUGCAUCGCUAGAAUCGUGGAGAGGUGAGUGGAAUUCCGAGUGUAGAGGUGAAAUUCGUAGAUAUUCGGAGGAACACCAGUGGCGAAGGCGGCUCACUGGACCAUAACU